CGCCCGCGCACACUUCGUUACGUCAAGUAUCGACAAACCGUUUGAGCUGAACGACUGGAUAACUCGUAGUCAAGUGGUCGAUUAUCGUGGCGACCAGCGAAAUAACGUUGGAUAGUCAAAACGGCUGUGACGUCGGAUCAAUCCAUUUGCGAUGUCGUGUUGACAUCGUAUUUCACAGUAGGUUGUAUUGGCGCUUUGAGCGUAACAGUCUCCUCCAGUCUGGCAACGAAGCAUGGUUACAUGUGGACGGGUGCGCGGAUUUAAGGCUUUCGACAGGAACCAAAAGCUUUGAUAGAUGAAACCUGUGGGACUCUCAAAGUGAGCGUCGUUAGAGCGUCUCAAAUCACUAAGCUGUAAAGGGGAAUAAGCGCAAUUAUUUAGGGUGCAUGUAUGACAUAGUGCAAUUGGUUUCUAAGAUACUGUGUUAUUCUUCAUAAGGUAGAUAAAAGGUGACGGGGUACUGAUCUGCUACUCUUUCGACUGUAGAGUGAUCUGACUUCUGGUAGAACAAGGUGCAUCCUUUCUCGGCUUUUUUCUUGCGGUGAUAACACUCAUUGGAUUCACUCUCCUAUUGUGAGUUACCCUUGCUCUCAGUUAUCAGAGCUGCUAUUAUAUCUCAAACAGAAUGUUGAUUAAAAUGGACGCUAAUCCGGAACCGCCGCCGCGACACAAACGCGGACGUAAGGCUUCUAUGUUAGCGACACCCGCUGACGAAGCUCACUCGAUUUCGUUAGAAAGCGCUUCGGACGAUCCGCAGUCAUUAACCGCCGUCAUAACCUCAUCACCGUCGUCAUCAACGACUGGUAUACCUAAUCCUCCUCAAAUGCAACCUCAAGACAUACAGAUUUCAAUGCAGGUCCCUCCUCGACAGAGGAGGUUGUCAAGGCGCACGUCUAACCCCAUCGACAGACGCCCAGUCGAUCAAAAUGACUUGCAGAAAGAAUACUACGCGGCAACAGCUGCGGUUAUAAGUACGGCUCGAGGGGACAACGCAGGAUACCCGUUUAAGGAUACCCCACAUUCGAUGAUGCGGAUUGCCUCCUCCGGCCAUCACACAGCGAAGAAUAAUUUAGCAGCACAUUCACAAGCGAUAAACAAUGGCUCGUCUCGAAGGCAAGUGACGUUUGUCGACGAUGAGUUGGCAACUCAGGAAGGUCGUGCCGAUGAAAAUGGCCGGCCUUCGAGGACGGCACGGAGCACGAACAAGAGGGCCGGCGCAGGUGUACGAGAACACAGGCGUUCUUCAAGUGUUCCAGCGGCUGGAUGCCGGGGAAACGUUCCUCGGCGCGGCCAUUUAGCACCGGUAGUACUCGCUCCCCCACAGAUAUACCGACACUCCAUCCUUUUGCUCCCGCCCGGAGCCAUGGUUCCACCACCUAUCGAGAGUCUUCUGUGCACAUCUGCAGCUCCAUUAUCACUUCCGUAUUGGCUUCAGCCUCCUGGAUGCCGGUCGGGCGUCGCUAAGGCUCAAGGACCUCGAGGCUAUACUCAGCAACAGCAGCAGCAGCAGCAGCAGCAGCAACAACAGCAAACGACGUUAGCAUUAGCAAAGACCAAAUCGUUGGUGGCGUCCGGCGGAGUUCGACCAGGGGCACUUGCCUCGGCAGCGUUGGGGCCACUAGCGACGGUUUCCGUCGCUACCGCACAGGGUCAGGCAAGCGCGCAAGGCGGGAUUUCGGCGACAGGGGGUCAAUUGCUGUUGCGGCCAGUUAUCAAGACGACGAUAGCCACGCCAACAGUAGCGGGCGCGUCAAUGAAUAGUUCUGGGUCCGUUGGCGGGAGUGGUGGGGGCUCGUUGUCAUCAGGUUCGGGUCCUGAUUCUGGCAGCGAUUCGGAUGCAUCACAACCCCGAAACUCUCCACCGGCCGUGACAAAAAAGGUGGUUACGUUCAAUUAUCUAACGCAGGUUCAGCUCGUUGACAUAUAAUUCAGCGACAGUUUAUGUAAAUUAGGAACUUGACUUGAAAGCAAAGGUACAAUUUUCCGGAAUCAAAUUAUUCCGCGAAAAGCAGUGUAAGCCGCCAGUGAAGGUAUCCAGAAUUCGUCGGGGACAUUUCUUCGAAAAAAUCGUAUUUACGUCGAGGGCCCGUUGCGAGAUGACGUUCGAAUCAAUCUUAUUCAGUGUCGUCUAAAACACAGAUGUGCAGCAGUAAAAUAUAGGCAUAAUUAGGGAUAACGGGUUGGCCUUUUGUCUCUAGUUGUUGCUGUGGCCUGGGCUAGGCAGGCUAUGGGUUAAUGACAUGUUCUCCGCUGUGCGUACAUUGUGUAACGGUUGUUUGAGAGGUACCUUUUGGCCGAAUGUGCGUAUUCAAUGUAAAUGUCCAAUUUAGUGCAACUGAGGCCUUAAUUCGAGGCCUAAACUGCGCGGAGUUCCA